rnacentral:misc_RNA from 1 species
GAUGAAGAACGUAGUGAAAUGCGAUAAGUAGUGUGAAUUGCAGAAUUUAGUGAAUCAUCGAAUCUUUGAACGCACAUUGCGCCCUAUAGUAUUCUGUAGGGCAUGCCUGUUCGAGCGUUAUUGAGACCUCAAGCUCUGCUUGGAAAUGGGCGCUUGUCUUGCCUUGCAGACUCGCCUUAAAACCAUUGGCAGCUGAUUUACAAUGUUUGGUGCACAGUACAUGAGCCCAAGUGUUGCAAUGAGUGGCCCAAAAGUAUACAAUACAAGCUUAACCUCGGAUCAGGUAGGGAUACCCGCUGAACUUAAGCAUAUCAAUAAGCGGAGGA